GACAGAGGUGCCGAGCGUUAGGCGGAAUCACUGGGCUUAAAGCGUGUGUAGGCGGGUCCGUAAGUACCUUGUGAAAUCCCACCGCUCAACGGUGGAACUGCUCGGUAUACUGCGGGCCUUGAGCUGUCUAGGGGCAACCGGAACAAACGGUGGAGCGGUGAAAUGCGUAGAGAUCUGGAAGAACACCAAAGGCGAAGGCAGCGUCCUGGGAAGUGACUGACGCUCAUGUGCGAAAGCUAGGGGAGCGAACGGG
rnacentral:rRNA from 1 species